GGGCUCUGUGGCGUAGUGGUUAGCGCGCUUGGCUCAGAACCAAGAGAUCCUGGGUUCGAUUCUCAGGCGUACCCA